UAUUUUAUAUACAGUCCAGUCAGUUGCAACAGCAAUUAAAGCAGCAGGAAACAACCAAGUACACAUGCAAGUGACAAUGAGGAUUGCAAAAGUUUUAAAUAUCAGAAACUGAAGAAGGAAUUGAUAAUUAGCAGA
rnacentral:lncRNA from 1 species